UACGAAGGGGGCUAGCGUUGUUCGGAAUCACUGGGCGUAAAGGGCGCGUAGGCGGCUUUGUAAGUCGGGGGUGAAAGCCUGUGGCUCAACCACAGAAUUGCCUUCGAUACUGCAUGGCUUGAGACCGGAAGAGGUUAGUGGAACUGCGAGUGUAGAGGUGAAAUUCGUAGAUAUUCGCAAGAACACCAGUGGCGAAGGCGGCUAACUGGUCCGGUUCUGACGCUGAGGCGCGAAAGCGUGGGGAGCAAACAGG
rnacentral:rRNA from 1 species